UGUACCGCACCCUGGCCAACAACAGCUUCUCAACUAUGUUCUGGACAUCAGCAGACCCAAAGAUGAGCUGAUUGUUGAAACGUCUUCUGGAUGCCUCACGCGGCAGAUUUUUGGACACUGGGUUUAAACAAACAAAUGGAAUCGACUAUUGGAAAUGGCUGUUUUGAGCUUAUCACUAAAAUUGUUCAGUCAAAGGGGAUAAGCAUUUACAUAGAAGAUCUGUAUGUGACCCGGACUUGGCUUGCACCCUAUGGCUGUGAUCCAUUGCAGUCCUUUCCUACUGAUGCUCAGAGGAUGGACAUCAUAG